GAGUUUGAUCGUGGCUCAGAGUGAACGCUGGCGGUAGGCCUAACACAUGCAAGUCGAACGGCAGCACAGUAAGAGCUUGCUCUUAUGGGUGGCGAGUGGCGGACGGGUGAGGAAUACAUCGGAAUCUACUUUUUCGUGGGGAUAACGUAGGGAAACUUACGCUAAUACCGCAUACGACCUACGGGUGAAAGCAGGGGAUCUUCGGACCUUGCGCGAUUGAAUGAGCCGAUGUCGGAUUAGCUAGUUGGCGGGGUAAAGGCCCACCAAGGCGACGAUCCGUAGCUGGUCUGAGAGGAUGAUCAGCCACACUGGAACUGAGACACGGUCCAGACUCCUACGGGAGGCAGCAGUGGGAAUAUUGGACAAUGGGCGCAAGCCUGAUCCAGCCAUACCGCUGGGUGAAGAAGGCCC
rnacentral:rRNA from 1 species